CAUGCUCUCAUGAAAUGCAUCACAUCACAAACAUAUCAUCUCAAGGAUGAACUUGUCACCAUAGCCCUCUACAUACAUAAUAGUAUGUCCAACUGUGCCAGGGGCGAUUAGGCCUCACCUGGACUACUCUGAAGUAACUCAUAUCAUAACAUGUCCAACUGUGCCAGGGGCGAUUAGGCCUCACCUGGACUGCUCUGAGCUCUGACCUGACAGCCCAGCUGUCCUGACAGCCCAGCUGUCUCACUCAUAGUACCAGGAGCGACCUGGACUAACCAGGGGCGACCUGGUAUGGCUAUCUCAUGCCAUAACUCUGUAUCUGUGCUCGAUCAAGGGCUAAGGAUCAUCCAACAUUCAUCCACACAAAUAUCAGCUUAUGCAAUGCA
rnacentral:lncRNA from 1 species